AUUGCUUCUCAGCCUUUUGGCUAAGAUCAAGUGUAGUAUCUGUUCUUAUCAGUUUAAAGACUCUGUAUGUGUGUGUGUAUGUGUGUGUUUUUAAGACAGGGUCUCACUCUGUCACCAGGCUGGAGUGCAGUGACAGAAUCUCAGCUCACUUCAGCCUUGACUUUCUGGGUUCAAGCAAU
rnacentral:snRNA from 1 species